CCUUCCCCCGGCUCCAGCCGGCGCAGGCAGCGGCAGCGGCAGCAGGCGAGCCGCGGCCCCGCAAGGCCAUGAAGGUGAAGAAGGGCGGCGGUGGGGCCGGGACGGGGGCGGAGCCCGCUCCGGGGCCCUCGGGCCCGAGCGUGGCCCCCAUACCACAGCCGCCGGAGGAAUCCGAAUCUGGGUCCGAGUCGGAGCCGGACGCAGGCCCAGGGCCCAGGCCGGGGCCGCUGCAGAGGAAGCAGCCGAUCGGGCCGGAGGACGUGCUGGGGCUGCAGCGGAUCACCGGUGGGGCCCGUCCCCUUUUCCCAGCGUGGAGGUAGUGCGGCAGCAGCUGCAACCGUAGCCCUGUAGCUGUGGAGUCUCCAGAGCGCUUUGAGGCCCGCCCCUGCACUAAUGAGGAGAGGGGCUGAGUGCAGCCUGUCCUCAGCCCCCACGCUGGAGGCUAGGUGGAGGCUGAGUUACUUGGAGGCAUUCAGACUCUUCAUGUCUCCCCAACCAUUAAUACCCUCACCCUGAUCCUCCAGGAAGACUUGGGCCGUUUUCUUCCCCGGGAA
rnacentral:sRNA from 1 species